rnacentral:rRNA from 1 species
AGAGUUUGAUCCUGGCUCAGAACGAUUUCUGGCGGCGCGUCUUAAGCAUGCAAGUCGGGCGGGAUCCAUGCGCUUGCGCAUGGUGAGAGCGGCGGACUGGCGAGUAACACGUGGGCGACGCGCCCUCCGGACGGGAAUAGCCUGUAGAAAAUACAGGGUAAUGCCGGAUGCGAACGCGCGCGCUGGAGGCGCGCGUGGAAAGCCCCCACGGGGGCGCCGGAGGAGCGGCCCGCGGCCCAUCAGCUUGUAGGCGGUGCAAGGGACCACCUAGGCUACGACGGGUACCCGGCCUCAGAGGGCGGACGGGCGCAUUGGGACUGAGAUACGGCCCAGACUCCUACGGGAGGCAGCAGCUAAGAAUAUUCCGCAAUGGGGGGAACCCUGACGGAGCGACGCCGCGUGGGCGAGGAAGGCCGGAAGGUUGUAAAGCCCUUUUGCGCGCGAGGAAUAAGGGGAGGAGGGAAUGCCUUCCCGGUGACUGUAGCGCGCGAAUAAGCGCCGGCUAAUUACGUGCCAGCAGCCGCGGUAACACGUAAGGCGCGAGCGUUGUUCGGAAUCAUUGGGCGUAAAGGGCGUGUAGGCGGCCCUGCAAGCCUGGCGUGAAAUCCCGGGGCUCAACCCCGGAACCGCGCUGGGAACUGCUGGGCUGGAGCCGCUGUGGCGCAGCCGGAAUUCCAGGUGUAGGGGUGAAAUCUGUAGAUAUCUGGAAGAACACCGAUGGCGAAGGCAGGCUGCGAGCGGACGGCUGACGCUGAGGCGCGAAGGCGCGGGGAGCGAACAGGAUUAGAUACCCUGGUAGUCCGCGCAGUAAACGCUAAACAGUGGGUGUCCGAGCAUGAGCCCGGGUGCCGAAGAGAACACGAUUAAGUGUACCGCAUGGGGAGUAUGCCCGCAAGGGUGAAACUCAAAGAAAUUGACGGGGUCCCGCACAAGCGGAGGAACAUGUGGUUUAAUUCGAUGAUACGCGAGGAACCUUACCCGGGCUAGAAUUACAGCGGAAGGAUACAGAGAUGUUGACGCCCUUCGGGGUCGCUGUGAAGGUGCUGCAUGGUUGUCGUCAGCUCGUGCCGUGAGGUGUCGGUUUAAGUGCCAUAACGAGCGCAACCCCUCUCCGUAGUUGCCAUCGGGUAAUGCCGGGCACUCUGCGGACACUGCCACCGUAAGGUGUGAGGAAGGUGGGGAUGACGUCAAAUCAGCACGGCCCUUACGUCCGGGGCUACACACGUGUUACAAUGGGGCAUACAGAGCGCCGGCGGCCGGCAACGUCCGUCCAAUCGCGAAAGUGUCCCCCAGUUCGGACUGGGGUCUGCAACCCGACCCCAGGAAGCUGGUUUCGCUGGUAUUCGCGCUUCAGC